UCAAAAGUCCAUCUGGCCUUUGCCUCCUCUGACAACCCCUUGACUUUCCCAGGCUUUGAGAGCGUAACUGCAGGCUCAGAGUAGAGCUGGGGCCAGGGUUGGUCACCAAACUGUUGCCCAUCCAUGGAAAGUAAGAAAGGAGGGAAACGAAGCUAAGAAAGGGCGGCCAUGGAUGAGUGUUCAGAUCCUCCACUGAACAAAGGCACCACACUGAGGAACGUCACCAAAAUCUAAGCCACACCUUCACUUACCUGAGAGCACUCUGGCCAGUACGUGGAUUCCAGGCCUCCAAGCUAUGUGUACAGGGACAGCAGCUGUGAGCCAGUCAUGAUGUAAACUCACCAUGGACACAGCACACUCAGCAGAAAAGGCCAGUCAUGUGCAGCUGUGCCCUCCCCGCAGCCCUCUUGCCUGCCCACUGUUCUUGGGAGAUGAAAAUGCAUU